UACGUAGGGUCCGAGCGUUGUCCGGAAUUACUGGGCGUAAAGAGCUCGUAGGUGGUUUGUCGCGUUGUUCGUGAAAACUCACAGCUCAACUGUGGGCGUGCGGGCGAUACGGGCAGACUUGAGUACUGCAGGGGGAGACUGGAAUUCCUGGUGUAGCGGUGGAAUGCGCAGAUAUCAGGAGGAACACCGAUGGCGAAGGCAGAUCUCUGGGCCGUAACUGACGCUGGAGG
rnacentral:rRNA from 1 species